UUGCUCUCUCCAAAUGGGUCGACGCCAAGCCUGAAAAACCUACUAUUUGUUCAGACACCCCGGAGCAGUGAUCUGGAAUAGUUGGAAGCUAUAAAUGCAUAAAUCUUUGAGAUGUGGAAGUUCAUUGUCAUUUUGAACCUUUAUGUGAUGUUUAAUUCCUUUGUUUUUUUCUCUCUCCAUGAAAUGGAACAUGCACUGGAUUUUGAUUUGCAUGGUUAAUCUUGUAAUAAUAAAAGUUUAAAC